rnacentral:lncRNA from 1 species
AAUAUGGAUUCCGGUCUUUGCCCCGCUCCUGACCACGACGCCUAAACCUCUGUAAUUUCCUGAGUGAUAAGGUGCCGGGAGCAUCUGCUGUCCUAAUGUUUGGACCUUGACCCCGGUUCCCGACCCAGAGCUCCUUGUAACAUCCUGGGCGAUAGGAGCAUCUUUUGUUCUGACGAAGUGACUCUUGGUGGGUCCUGGAGCUUCAGGAUAGGGACUGGCCUCCAGAAAGACCACACCUCGAUUAGCAGCUGGAACUUGCAGCCUCACCUCCUGUUCCCCAGGGAGGGGGAGGGGCUGGAAGUGGAGUUAAUGACUGAUCAUGCCUUUGUGAUGAAGCCUCCCGAAAACCCCGACAGUGCAGGGCCUGGAGGGUUCCGGGCUGGGGAACGCAUCCACCUGCUGGGAGGGUGGUGCCCUCAAGACCAAGGGGACAGAAACUCCUGUGUUCUGACCCUUCUGGACCUAAUCACGUCUUCAGACCUUUAUCACAUCCUUUACUGUGUAAUAAACCAAUAAACAUGUCAAUUCCCUGAGUUCUGAGACGAUCCAGCAAACUAUUGAACCCAAGGAGGGGUCAUGAGCCCCCUGUCUUGUAGCUGAUCAGGAGCACAGGUGACAACCUGGGACUUGCAACUCGCGUCUGAAGUGGGGGCAGUCCUGUGGGGCUGAGCCUUAUCCUGUGGGAUCUGACGCCAACUGCACUGGAUAGUGUCAGAACUGAACCGAAUCCUAGGACACCCUGCAGGUGCUGGAGAAUUGAUCGUGCGGGAAAACCCGGACAUGUGCUGCCAGAAGUGAUGCGGGAGAGUGAGGAAAGAAGUGAGUUUUCCUAGACGUGGGCUUGGCCACGGACAGUCAUCACAAGUACUUCCCAUUUCGUCUUUUUUUCUUCCUGGUUUUUCCUCCAAGUGAAAGAUUCCUAGGAAGAAGUGAGCUGCUUGAUUAGUGCAUGCUAGGCAAGGCUGGGAGAAUUCAUUCCCCAUGACUUAUGGGGAAGAGGAAGCCCCAUAGUCACCCUGAAAGGAGGCGAGGAAGCCGCACAGUUGUCAGGAGGUGAGGAAGCCCCAUAGUUGCACUGUAAGGAGGUGAGGAGGCUGCACAGUCACCCUGUCAGGAGGUGAAGAGGCUGCAUAGUCAUCUUGUCAGGAGGUGAGGAAGCCACGCAGUUGUCUUGUCAGGAGGUGAGGAGGCCACACGGUCAUCCUGCCAGGAGGGGAGAAAGCCACACAGUUGUCUCGUCAGGAGGUGAGGAAGCCACACAGUCGUCCUUCCAGGAGGUGAGGAAGCCACACAGUUGUCUUGUCAGGAGGUGAGGAGGCCACACGGUCGUCCUUCCAGGAGGUGAGGAAGCCACACAGUUGUCUUGUCAGGAGGUGAGGAAGCCACACGGUCAUCCUGCCAGGAGGUGAGGAGGCCGCACAGUCGUCUUCUCAGGAG